GUGGCUUCCGGAGCUAACGCGUUAAGUCGACCGCCUGGGGAGUACGGCCGCAAGGUUAAAACUCAAAUGAAUUGACGGGGGCCCGCACAAGCGNNNGAGCAUGUGGUUUAAUUCGAUGCAACGCGAAGAACCUUACCUACUCUUGACAUCCAGAGAACUUUCCAGAGAUGGAUUGGUGCCUUCGGGAACUCUGAGACAGGUGCUGCAUGGCUGUCGUCAGCUCGUGUUGUGAAAUGUUGGGUUAAGUCCCGCAACGAGCGCAACCCUUAUCCUUUGUUGCCAGCGGUUAGGCCGGGAACUCAAAGGAGACUGCCAGUGAUAAACUGGAGGAAGGUGGGGAUGACGUCAAGUCAUCAUGGCCCUUACGAGUAGGGCUACACACGUGCUACAAUGGCGCAUACAAAGAGAAGCGACCUCGCGAGAGCAAGCGGACCUCAUAAAGUGCGUCGUAGUCCGGAUUGGAGUCUGCAACUCGACUCCAUGAAGUCGGAAUCGCUAGUAAUCGUAGAUCAGAAUGCUACGGUGAAUACGUUCCCGGGCCUUGUACACACCGCCCGUCACACCAUGGGAGUGGGUUGCAAAAGAAGUAGGUAGCUUAACCUUCGGGAGGGCGCUUACCACUUUGUGAUUCAUGACUGGGG
rnacentral:rRNA from 1 species